rnacentral:rRNA from 1 species
UAACUACUGGAAACGGUAGCUAAUACCGCAUAACGUCGCAAGACCAAAGAGGGGGACCUUCGGGCCUCUUGCCAUCGGAUGUGCCCAGAUGGGAUUAGCUAGUAGGUGGGGUAACGGCUCACCUAGGCGACGAUCCCUAGCUGGUCUGAGAGGAUGACCAGCCACACUGGAACUGAGACACGGUCCAGACUCCUACGGGAGGCAGCAGUGGGGAAUAUUGCACAAUGGGCGCAAGCCUGAUGCAGCCAUGCCGCGUGUAUGAAGAAGGCCUUCGGGUUGUAAAGUACUUUCAGCGAGGAGGAAGGCGUUGUGGUUAAUAACCGCAACGAUUGACGUUACUCGCAGAAGAAGCACCGGCUAACUCCGUGCCAGCAGCCGCGGUAAUACGGAGGGUGCAAGCGUUAAUCGGAAUUACUGGGCGUAAAGCGCACGCAGGCGGUCUGUCAAGUCGGAUGUGAAAUCCCCGGGCUCAACCUGGGAACUGCAUCCGAAACUGGCAGGCUAGAGUCUUGUAGAGGGGGGUAGAAUUCCAGGUGUAGCGGUGAAAUGCGUAGAGAUCUGGAGGAAU